rnacentral:tRNA from 1 species
ACCUGGUUGGCUGGAUGGAUAGAGCAUGUGACUCUUAAUCUCAGGGUGAUGAGUUCAAGCCCUAUAUUAGGUA